CGAAUAUCAAACACAGCAUAAGGGUAAAAAUAGCCUAUUUUUUAUCAUUCACGUUUGUUAUCAUAGUCUGCUGGAAUAUUUUUUUAUACGAGUCGAGCUAACAAACUUCACCACGAGGAGGCCUACUUUGCCUCUACCUCUGCAUUAAGUGCAGUAAGUGAAAGCAAAAUUACCAGCCUCAAAGACCAAGACACAUUAGUGUGCUAUUGGAGGGCGAGAGUCCCAAAAUUGAAAAAUGCUGCAGCAGUCAACUUCAUUACUGCCCCUUCUGCACGUAUAAGCCUAUGGUCAACAACCACAUCAAAGGUCAUGCUUCAGUGAGGCACAGAGAGUUCACAAUCAUAAGGUGUGGCUUCAGUUGUAGAAACGUGACACACAUUCAUUGUUGUUAUUGCACGGCAUCAAUAAUCAACAGAGCACAGUUUCUGAAGCGCCUGACAUACCAUCAGCAUCCAGUGGCCCCUCAAGAGCACCUAGAGGUCCUUAAACAGUCCCUAGAGGCCCCUCAAGAGCACCCAGAUGUCCCCCAAGAGCACCCAGAGGCCCUUAAAGAACAACUAGUAGCAUCCACUGCAUUCCAUAUACCUCAGAUACGGCUCCCUAAAUCACCUGGUGCCAACAUACAUGGCAGCUCAAGAAAAGUCCUUGUAACUUGUCCACACUGCAAACUGAAGUUAAAUAAGAAAAACUUCAAAAAACUUUUACGAAGAAAGCAUACACAUGGCUUUGAAACGGUGUCCAGGGAAAUAUUUUUGGCACGUGAGCGCAUUAAUGUGAGAAAUGGUGUGUUUGGAGUCAAAAAUACAUUUCCUGGUCCAGCAACACCCAUACAUGUUGUGAAAAAUACUUGGGGACCCACACAGAAAUUGAGGUGUGAAGUUGACCAAUGUCAUCCCAAUGCUGACUUUGCUUUAAGGCGUAGGAUGCUGCCUUUUGAAUGUCAGCAUGUACGUUCCUUAUUGUUCUGCCCACGUGCAGGCAACACAACAGUGACUUUGACAGAGGAGGCCUUGGUGACAAUGGCCGAGAAUAAAUGGUUUUGUGAGGAGCGCUAGGCGUCAACGUGAGGCAGAUACUGAGGGUGUGCCCCUGUCUGUCCAGCUGAUGUUUGGUGGACCAUCGACACAAAUUCACAUUUUGGUGUACGAGCUGAAACUGUCUUAUUAUAGUAGGCUUGGAAGGGUUGUGACAGCUUAUGAUAGUAAGCAGAACAGCUGGCAUUGUCCUUGUUCAAAAGCAAGGCAUUCUCGCAUACACAAAGCAAUUGAUAAAUGGCACCUCUUUGUAACAAAAAGGCAACUGUUUAGGAGGGUGAAAACCACAGAAGAGAGAAACCUUCCACCACAGCACACCACAGAACAGGAUACAAGUGAAGCGAAAGAGGAUAAUUAUCCACCAAAUGAUAAAGGUGUAGCACGGAUGGUGAACUACCUCAUGACAAAUAAAAAAACUACCUGCUGAACUCCCCCAGGCUGUCAAUCAACAGUCAAGAGAUGGAAAGAUAUCGAGUGGCUUUCCGAAGCACCUGAUCCCAAAAGAGGCCAGAUGCAAGGAGUGUGAUUACGUACUCAGUGACCCUCUACUGAUCACUGCAAAAGAGAGGAUUCUGAUGACCACAGGUGUAGUUGAAGGAAGCAGAUGUUCUUCUAAGGGACACCCUAGAGGCAGCAAGGUGGUGCGAGCGCCAAACAUUUAAAGGCACUGUUUCCCUCCCUAGUGUUAUUGGGAUGGACAGGGAAGACCGCAUUACAACCCUUAAAGAACUACGGUGAAGAGCGGGUGAAGAGGAAAAUAUUCUCCUCAAGGAACCAUUCAUGUUCCCGUUCCAGUUACAGAGAGAUUAUGAGAAGUUCUGUGUGGAGGCAGUUGACAAAAAGAAAAUGACUGUCUUUGCCUCUUGAGGAGCAGGAGUGAAGCCAUUUUUCAGUGGUCAAACCUUGUUUUUGUCUGCUGUGUUAAUUGUUUCAGUUGUUAAUUGUGUUAUGUUGUUUAGUAAAGAUGAUGUUG